rnacentral:tRNA from 1 species
AAACUAUUUUUUUAUGUUUUGAAAACAUAAAUUGAGAUUUUUUGUCUCAUAGUUUU